rnacentral:rRNA from 1 species
GACGAACGCUGGCGGCGUGCCUAAUACAUGCAAGUUGAGCGAUGAAGAUUGGUGCUUGCACCAAUUUGAAGAGCAGCGAACGGGUGAGUAACGCGUGGGGAAUCUGCCUUUGAGCGGGGGACAACAUUUGGAAACGAAUGCUAAUACCGCAUAACAACUUUAAACAUAAGUUUUAAGUUUGAAAGAUGCAAUUGCAUCACUCAAAGAUGAUCCCGCGUUGUAUUAGCUAGUUGGUGAGGUAAAGGCUCACCAAGGCGAUGAUACAUAGCCGACCUGAGAGGGUGAUCGGCCACAUUGGGACUGAGACACGGCCCAAACUCCUACGGGAGGCAGCAGUAGGGAAUCUUCGGCAAUGGACGAAAGUCUGACCGAGCAACGCCGCGUGAGUGAAGAAGGUUUUCGGAUCGUAAAACUCUGUUGGUAGAGAAGAACGUUUGUGAGAGUGGAAAGCUCAUCAAGUGACGGUAACUACCCAGAAAGGUACGGCUAACUACGUG